UACGUAGGGUGCAAGCGUUAAUCGGAAUUACUGGGCGUAAAGCGUGCGCAGGCGGCUUUGCAAGACAGAUGUGAAAUCCCCGGGCUCAACCUGGGAACUGCAUUUGUGACUGCAAGGCUAGAGUACGGCAGAGGGGGAUGGAAUUCCGCGUGUAGCAGUGAAAUGCGUAGAUAUGCGGAGGAACACCGAUGGCGAAGGCAAUCCCCUGGGCCUGUACUGAAGCUCAUGCACGAAAGCGUGGGGAGCAAACAGG
rnacentral:rRNA from 1 species